rnacentral:sRNA from 1 species
GCUGGGUGCAGUGGGGCACACCUGUAAUCCCGGCGGCUCAGGAGGCUGAGGCAGAAGGAUUGCAAGUUCUAAGCCAGCCUCAGCAACUUUAGGGAGGCCCUAAGCAACUCAGCAAGACCCAGUCUCUA